rnacentral:rRNA from 1 species
CAGCAGCCGCGGGAAUACGAAGGGCGCAAGCGUUACUCGGAAUUACUGGGCGUAAAGCGUGCGUAGGUGGUGGUUUAAGUCCGUUGUGAAAGCCCUGGGCUCAACCUGGGAAUUGCAGUGGAUACUGGGUCACUAGAGUGUGGUAGAGGAUAGUGGAAUUUCCGGUGUAGCAGUGAAAUGCGUAGAGAUCGGAAGGAACAUCUGUGGCGAAGGCGACUAUCUGGGCCAACACUGACACUGAGGCACGAAAGCGUGGGGAGCAAACAGGAUUAGAUACCCCGGUAGUCCCUGUCUCUUAUAC